GAAAUGCGAUAAGUAAUGCGAAUUGCAGAAUUUCCGUGAGUCAUCGAAUCUUUGAACGCACAUUGCGCCCUUUGGCAUUCCGAAGGGCAUGCCUGUUCGAGCGUCAUUAUCCUCUCUCAAACCCCCGGGUUUGGUGUUGGACCGCGUUGGCCUUUCACGGCCAACUGGUCUCAAAGACAAUGACGGCGUCCCAGGGACCCUCUUCGCACUGAGCUUUCCGGAGCACGCGUAGAGUUUCAAGGGCCCAGGGACCCGGUCGCCUCUAAAACUUUUUUCAGGUUGACCUCGGAUCAGGUAGGAAUACCCGCUGAACUUAA
rnacentral:misc_RNA from 1 species